GUCUGAGAGGAUGACCAGCCACACUGGAACUGAGACACGGUCCAGACUCCUACGGGAGGCAGCAGUGGGGAAUAUUGCACAAUGGGCGCAAGCCUGAUGCAGCCAUGCCGCGUGUGUGAAGAAGGCCUUCGGGUUGUAAAGCACUUUCAGCGGGGAGGAAGGCGGUGAGGUUAAUAACCUCAUCGAUUGACGUUACCCGCAGAAGAAGCACCGGCUAACUCCGUGCCAGCAGCCGCGGUAAUACGGAGGGUGCAAGCGUUAAUCGGAAUUACUGGGCGUAAAGCGCACGCAGGCGGUCUGUCAAGUCGGAUGUGAAAUCCCCGGGC
rnacentral:rRNA from 1 species